GACGAACGCUGGCGGCGUGCCUAAUACAUGCAAGUUGAGCGAUGAAGAUUGGUGCUUGCCCCAAUUUGAAGAGCAGCGAACGGGUGAGUAACGCGUGGGGAAUCUGCCUUUGAGCGGGGGACAACAUUUGGAAACGAAUGCUAAUACCGCAUAAUAACUUUAAACAUAAGUUUUAAGUUUGAAAGAUGCAAUUGCAUCACUCAAAGAUGAUCCCGCGUUGUAUUAGCUAGUUGGUGAGGUAAAGGCUCACCAAGGCGAUGAUACAUAGCCGACCUGAGAGGGUGAUCGGCCACAUUGGGACUGAGACACGGCCCAAACUCCUACGGGAGGCAGCAGUAGGGAAUCUUCGGCAAUGGACGAAAGUCUGACCGAGCAACGCCGCGUGAGUGAAGAAGGUGUUCGGAUCGUAAAACUCUGUUGGUAGAGAAGAACGUUGGUGAGAGUGGAAAGCGCAUCAAGUGACGGUAACUACCCAGAAAGGGACGGCUAACUACGU
rnacentral:rRNA from 1 species